rnacentral:rRNA from 1 species
CUACAGGCUUAACACAUGCAAGUCGAGGGGCAGCAUGGUCUAGCAAUAGACUGAUGGCGACCGGCGCACGGGUGAGUAACACGUAUCCAACCUACCGGCUAUUCCGGGAUAGCCUUUCGAAAGAAAGAUUAAUACCGGAUAGUAUAGCGAGAAGGCAUCUUCUUGCUAUUAAAGAAUUUCGAUAACCGAUGGGGAUGCGUUCCAUUAGUUUGUUGGCGGGGUAACGGCCCACCAAGACAUCGAUGGAUAGGGGUUCUGAGAGGAAGGUCCCCCACAUUGGAACUGACACACGGUCCAAACUCCUACGGGAGGCAGCAGUGAGGAAUAUUGGUCAAUGGACAAGAUUCUGAUCCAUCCAAGUAGCGUGAAGGAUGACUGCCCUAUGGGUUGUAAACUUCUUUUAUAUGGGAAUAAAGUGAGCCACGUGUGGCUUUUUGUAUGUACCAUACGAAUAAGGAUCGGCUAACUCCGUGCCAGCAGCCGCGGUAAUACGGAGGAUCCGAGCGUUAUCCGGAUUUAUUGGGUUUAAAGGGAGCGUAGGCGGACUAUUAAGUCAGCUGUGAAAGUUUGCGGCUCAACCGUAAAAUUGCAGUUGAUACUGGUCGUCUUGAGUGCAGUAGAGGUAGGCGGAAUUCGUGGUGUAGCGGUGAAAUGCUUAGAUAUCACGAAGAACUCCGAUUGCGAAGGCAGCUUACUGGACUGUAACUGACGCUGAUGCUCGAAAGUGUGGGUAUCAAACAGGAUUAGAUACCCUGGUAGUCCACACAGUAAAC